rnacentral:snRNA from 1 species
ACGAGAUUCCCACUGUCCCUGUC